rnacentral:rRNA from 1 species
GAUGAACGCUGGCGGCGUGCCUAAUACAUGCAAGUCGAGCGAACGGACGAGAAGCUUGCUUCUCUGAUGUUAGCGGCGGACGGGUGAGUAACACGUGGAUAACCUACCUAUAAGACUGGGAUAACUUCGGGAAACCGGAGCUAAUACCGGAUAAUAUUUUGAACCGCAUGGUUCAAAAGUGAAAGACGGUCUUGCUGUCACUUAUAGAUGGAUCCGCGCUGCAUUAGCUAGUUGGUAAGGUAACGGCUUACCAAGGCAACGAUGCAUAGCCGACCUGAGAGGGGGAUAGGAAACACGGGAAAGGAGACACGGGGCAGACGCGUACGGGAGGAAGAAGGAGGGAAUAGUGAGCAAUGGGCGAAAGACUGACGGAGCAAAGCCGAGGGAGGGAGGAAGGGCUCAGGAUAGGAAAACUAUGGUAGGAGGGAAGAAAAAAUGGGUAAGUAAAUAGGCAAGGCGGGAAGGUAAAUAAGAAGAAAGCCAAGGCGAACGACGGG